AGGAUGUAGAAAGGCUGCUGCGGGUGAAGCCUCCUGUAUCUCUGGUACUGGAUGAAGAUGGGAUAAUCUGUGUGGUUGUACCACUGCAGGAGGGAUAAACAGCAUGUGGAGACAUAUGAGAAAAAAAUAUUUCAUAGAGAUGUUCAGGAACUGGGUGAACAAGGGUAAAAAAGCAGCAAAGGAACUUAAAAAUCUUCAGAAGGCCUGAGAUGUUAAAAAAAGCGAGGGAUGGGAGAAACUGGAGCUUUAACAUCACCGAGAAUGAAGAACGACAACAAACCUUGAUGACGGAGUGUGUACGAGGCUGAGCCCUGGUUCGUGCUCGCACGCCGAAGAUGGCAUCUGUGACAGGCAC